rnacentral:rRNA from 1 species
UGCCAGCCGCCGCGGUAAUACGGAGGGUGCAAGCAUUAAUCGGAAUUAUUGGGCGUAAAGGGCGCGUAGGCGGAUAUGUAAGUCAGAUGUGAAAUACCGAGGCUUAACUUCGGUGCUGCAUUUGAAACUACAAAUCUAGAGGAUAGACGGAGAAAACGGAAUUCUACAUGUAGCGGUGGAAUGCGUGGAUAUGUAGAAGAACACCUGUGGCGAAAGCGGUUUUCUAGUUUAUUCCUGACGCUGAGGCGCGAGAGCAAGGGGAGCAAACAGGAUUAGAUA